rnacentral:lncRNA from 15 species
UCAGUCAGUCAGUCAGUCAGUCAGUCAGUCAAUCGAUCAAUCAGUCAGUCAAUCGAUCAAUGGCCCUUUUAAUGAACCUUUCAUUAAUGAAUGUGCAACGUUCCAAAGGAGGAGUUUAAACUGUUCGUUAGAGGCUGGUUUAUUGGGUGGCCGCAGCUUUCGGCAGCAGCGUUCGUGGUUUCGGUUUCGGCCUCUCCUUCCUGCCGAGUCUUGCCAUGAUGGCCGCCAACAUCUACUUCAUCUUCACAGUGGAGGCGGCAGGGUCCAUCUUCAGCCUCCCCCCGCCUCCUGAGGAGGUGUUGCCUCCACCCGCUGGCAGACAAAGGUUCUGGGGAUGAUAACUGAUCAAUAAUCAAUAACCUGAAAUAUUUUUGGAGAUUUAAUUUUUUAUGAACUGAAACUUUCAAACAGAAUAUAAACAGAGUAAAAGUUUAAAAGUUUUUCUGUUAAAACAUAAAACAGAUUAUAACUCCUCCCACAUUGUUUAUAACCCCGCCCACUUUCUCUCUCAUGGUCUUCAUUAAAUCUUAAACUACUUCCUGUUUUAUUUGUAGGGACUUCCUGUUUUGGUUGGUUCAUUGUUCAACAUUUUAUUUUGUAAAAUCAGUUUUAUGAUCAUUUAAUGUUUGAUUUUGUUAAAAAAAAACUUUUGUUUGUUUUUAUACUUUAUACCAAGUAUCCCAUUUCACAAUAAAAGCAUUCAUCUUCACUUCCUGUGUGAGUUUAUUUUUAUUCACUAAUAACAUUCGAACAAUAUUUUACACCUUUAACUCUCUGACAAAUGUUCUUGUAAUAUAAUUAUUAUUGAUAUAUACGUUCUUUAUUGAUUAGUGAUGGGUCUGUAUUGAUUGAUCUGUUCUUGAGUCACAUGAAGCUGGUAGUGUUUUUCUGGUGGAACCGGUCAGACCGUCAGUCGACACCAAACACAAACUGCCACCUGCACACAGGAAGUGCUGACAGUGUGCCGUCAAAAUAAAAUCAGGACAAUUCAGGUUUCAAUGUGAAUCUUUAAUAAUAUGAAAAAUCUAUUUGUAACUAUAUAUUUACUUAUUAUAUAUGAUCAGAUUCAAAAGCUUGUCUGAAUCAUUUAUUGAUUCUGAUGUUAAUAAAUCAAUAAGUAUAUUGAACACACCGACCUGG